rnacentral:rRNA from 1 species
UACGUAGGGGGCUAGCGUUGUCCGGAUUUAUUGGGCGUAAAGAGCGUGUAGGCGGCCAGGUAGGUCUGCUGUGAAAACUCGAGGCUCAACCUCGAGACGUCGGCGGAAACCAUCUGGCUAGAGUCCGGAAGAGGAGAGUGGAAUUCCUGGUGUAGCGGUGAAAUGCGCAGAUAUCUGGAGGAAUACCGGUGGCGAAGGCGGCAUCCUGGACCGGCAUUGACGCUGAAAAGCGAAAGCUAGGGGAGCAAACGGG